UCUCUGUCUUUAACUCAUCUUAUCCUAUUACGACUUGUCUGGCGCAGUUCAAGUCCUCGUCUUGAACAAGCCUCCACAUUUGCAGCAGCUCCUGCGGAACGAGUUUGUGCACCACGAUGAGGCUGCGAAAGAAGCACGGCUCCCGGUUCAGAGGAGUCACUUUACGCUUAAUGAUCCCAAAUGUCCGGAAGCCCAGAUGCAGCUCGGGGACGAUCUUCAGCUUCUGAAGGCACAUGCCCAGAAACACAUCAUCAAUGGGGUAAAGCUCCACGCUCUCAGAAACCACAAAGAGCUUGCGGGCCACCAGAGAAGACAUGAGAAAUCCUCCUCCACCCAAAUAAGGUGGAUAGCGUUUAUCAUACAACUCUUUGGGAAUAAAAUAUUUACUCUGGCGGUUUCUGAUCGGUUUGGCUUCUAGAAUAGUGUCUCCUACAAUGAGGUUUUCCACCCUGUUCUCCUCCACCCGAAAGCCAAUUAGUUCCACCAGGUUCUUGGUCUGGACAAAAACGUCAUCGUCCCCUUUGAAGACGAAGGGUACUCCACUGCAGUAGAUGCUGAACCAUCUCAGAAAGUUCACCUCCUUUAAGGUCUGCCUCACGGCUUCUCGCCGGUCAUGCUCUUCGAUAACCGAUUUGACCACGACCAGAACAUCCACGUCACCGCUGCACUUCUCCGGGUGAUUCAGCAACAUUGGGUAGUAUCUGCAAUGUCUGUGCAGGACAAAUUCGUGAAAUCUUGGGCUCAAACGACGAAACCAGGCUUGGGUCUUCAUCGUCGAAUUUUCACUACACUGAAUUUUAUCCACGUCCCAUUUUCUUGGCAUGGGUUUUCCCACCGGCGCCAAGCCGUUAAUGUUGGAUGAGUUUUCAAUUGUCUUUCUGCUUUUACAUGUGGGGCCACACCAUUUGCGUUUCUCGUCGACUUUGAUAUCGUUGAAAUUCGUGUCCACUGUUAUCAACUUCUGAAGCAUCAGUAAAGUGGCAAAAACCAAAGUUAGGCUGACCGCAGUCCUUAAAUUAUUUUUCUUUCGAAAGAAAAACUCCAUUACGCACACGCUCCUCAGAGAGCAGUCCAUUCGGGCGGCCAGUGGCUUUCUCAUGACAGGUCAGCAAGGUCCGCU
ensembl:lncRNA